GGAAAGAAUAUUUAAAAAUGCAAUAUUCAUUUUGUGAGAAAUUAUAAUUCAACUCUGAAGUAAAAUACAAUCAAAUGAUUUUAUUCUAGCAUUUCCCCACGGCCCUACCAUCUAAGUCGCUAUGUCAACCAAAAUUAUCAAACAAGAAAACCCAUUAUUUCUUCUUUCCUUGUACUUUCUCCACAUUUUGCCCUAAUAGCCACUACCAAUUUACCAUCAUUCAAUCCAGUUUCAUAACUUGCUUAAUCGGAAACCCGAUCCUUCAAUUGACAGGUACGCUUGUUGUUUGUUUAUUUUCGUUAUUAAUUUUACGACAAUUUGUUUAUUCUGAUAAAAACCUGAUCUUCGUUUAGGGGAUCAUCGUUCAGAAAUAAAUUUGGUUCCAAGUUUCUUGUAACUGUAUAUUUUAUUUUGUAUUUUCGUUUGCUGAGGAAUAUAAAUAGUUGUUAUUGAAUCAGAAUCGAACCCGAUCGAAGAUGUUUACCCGGAUGUUUGGAAAACCUAAGCAAGAGACGAAUGCUCUCACUACUCUUGACAAAUUAAACGAGGUACAAUUUUUCUUAUUUUCUUGUUAUAAAUUUAUGCGCUUAUGCAAAUAAAUUAAAAGUUUUAGAUUCUUUUACGGUAUUGAUGUUAUUUUCAGUUUUCUAAUGUUAGAAAUAUUGACACAAAGCUGAUCAGACUUGUCAGUUGUUGCUUUGAAUAUGGCUAUAGACUAUAGUUUUGUUAAUCUGCAUUCUUCAAUUACGAAACAAAGGAAAAGCAAAAUAAAAUUGAAAAAGAAGAAACUUUUCAGUUCUAAGUUGGCUUUGGCUAUGUAAAGUUAGUUUCUUGAUGUUAUCUGUUGUUGUCAAACUAUUUCAGCUUGGGAUUAUCAGACAUUAAGCUAUUUGAUCCAAGCUGACAAUUUGAUUUUGGACUUGGAUUUAUUGGAAACCGCAUCAGUAAUAUUUGCGGAUUAGCAUGUUAUGUUGCAUUUCCAAAUAAUUUCUGGCUUUGUUUCUUUUGUUACUAAGUUACAUUUGGUUGUUGAUCUCUAAUAGAUGCUUAUUUAUUCCUAAAACAGAAAUCGUCUAUCAAUUGUUGUGGAAUGGAAUCUGCCUGUAUGGUUUAAGCGGAGUUUUUCGUUAAAAAAUACUGGUAUUAGAGAGCAGGAUAAAUUUACUCUUUAUGUGUCGUCCACUCUUGCUACUACACACAAGAUGUAAUUACGCACAAAAUAACAUGAAAAGUAGCCCUAUGACAUGCAUAAAGGUUAACACAUUUUGGGUUUUUUGUUUUUAUUGUAGUCAUUUGGAAAAUAGACUAGAAAGUGAGAGAGCAGGAAAUAUAAUCAGAUGGCAAAACUUGAGAGUGUUAUUUGGCAUCUGAGUCCAGGUUUUGAAAAAUUUUAUUAGUUUUGCUACAUCGCUAAUUUUUAUGGAGCAAUUAUUUCUGUAUGUGCUUAAGUUCACAUCUAUUUGUGAACAGGUUUGACUGUAAAGCUUUUGCUUUAAAUAUUUGAGUUAGUCAGAUUUAUAACUCGUUCUAGUUUUACCUAGAUGUAUUGGUUGUUCUCUAUCUUUCCGCAUAUUUUCUUUUUCAUUCUUACCCUUGUGCAGACUCUCGAGAUGCUUGAGAAGAAGGAAACAGUACUUCAGAAGAAGGCUUAUGCUGAGGUCGAGAAGGCCAAGGAUUUUACAAAAGCAAAAAACAAAAGAGGUAUGAUCCAUAAAUACACGCCUGAAAAAAUAUAGUAAACCAAAAUAAAAAAUAUAAGUUUGUGUAAGGAGAAACAAACUAUAGAUGUCCAAUUCUAGCAUUCUAAAGCUAUUGCUAGUAAUACUCUAAUGUAUUUGUACCAAAAUGGUAUGAACAUUUAGAGCGUCUCCAAUUGACUCUCUAUUUUUAAGGAGUAUCUUGUCCAUAAUUGAGAGCAUCUUUAAAGAGUGAAAUUUUUUAUACAUUCCAACAUACUCUUUAUUUUUAGCUCUUUAUUUUACUUAUUUCAAUAACCAUAAUAUCAUUUUCUCCUUAAUUUUCAAUUAACACAUAUUUUUAGAUGUCUGACUAAAAAAGAUUGAUGCAGGACGAAUUAAAAAAAGAAAGAAUAAGCAAGAAGAGAGGGAGAAACCGGAGAGAAUGGGAUGAGAAAACCGGAGAAGUAGAAAUCAGGGGAAAGAGAAGGAGGAAGUCAUAGGCAACAACCCAAGCAUUCUAUGGUUUAAUUCAUCAAUUCAUCAACUGUCUCAAAUACGUAAUAAAACAGAAAUAAAUAGCAAAACAAAAACCCUAAAGAGAAGGGUCUGAGCCAAACCCACUAUACAAGCCCAAUAACAGAAACAUAAAUAAUAAUUCAAAUAGAAUAUAACUAAUAGUCUAAAUAGAAAAUAAAUAGUAAAUGGAUGUCCGCAUCAACUCUUCCGGAGUGAGAGAAAAACUCGAUCCCGUUGAGUGGAUGAAUCAAAAUGUUGCAAUGAAUCUGAUGCUAAAGGCUUCAAGUCAUGCCACUGGGGACGAUCUUUCUUGAUGACCAAAUACCGAAACUCCACAAAUGAUAAUAAAGCUAGUUGCAGCUUAUCCUCAAGAAUAUGAUCCAACCAAGGAGGACGAUCUUUCUUUGUAAUCACAUAUCGAUACUGAACUCCCAAUAGUAAAAAUUCAUGCCACUCAUCUCCAAAAUCUUCAUCAUUGGUUAAUACAACAUGUUUAUCUAAAAUAACAUCAAUUUCAUCUCUGUGUGCUAUGACGUGUUAUUGGAGUGAAAAUGGUAAUAUAUUUAGGUUGGGGAUCCACAUAAGGAAGUAGAAAAGGAUCAUCAAGGAAAUUAAAAAGGCCUUUGUAAGUAACUAAGUCCUCAGUAUGUAAAGUAGAGUGGUGGCCAAAAUGUGAUAAAAAUCAAUGACGUGCAUAUGGGCCAACAUACUUUAAAACUUUAGAAGUACCAGCACUACCGGCUUGCAAUAUAACAUAAUCCCCAAUAUUAAAUUCAAAAUAUCGUUUAUGCAAAUUAGCUUGAGGUUUAUAUAAUACAUUGCUUGCGU
rnacentral:lncRNA from 1 species